rnacentral:rRNA from 1 species
AGAGUUUGAUCAUGGCUCAGGACGAACGCUGGCGGCGUGCUUAACACAUGCAAGUCGAACGGAAAGGCCCUUCGGGGUACUCGAGUGGCGAACGGGUGAGUAACACGUGGGUGAUCUGCCCUGCACUCUGGGAUAAGCCUGGGAAACUGGGUCUAAUACCGGAUAGGACCGCAUGCUUCAUGGUGUGUGGUGCAAAGCUUUUGCGGUGUGGGAUGGGCCCGCGGCCUAUCAGCUUGUUGGUGGGGUGAUGGCCUACCAAGGCGACGACGGGUAGCCGGCCUGAGAGGGUGACCGGCCACACUGGGACUGAGAUACGGCCCAGACUCCUACGGGAGGCAGCAGUGGGGAAUAUUGCACAAUGGGCGCAAGCCUGAUGCAGCGACGCCGCGUGAGGGAUGACGGCCUUCGGGUUGUAAACCUCUUUCAGUAGGGACGAAGCGAAAGUGACGGUACCUACAGAAGAAGGACCGGCCAACUACGUGCCAGCAGCCGCGGUAAUACGUAGGGUCCGAGCGUUGUCCGGAAUUACUGGGCGUAAAGAGCUCGUAGGUGGUUUGUCGCGUUGUUCGUGAAAACUCACAGCUUAACUGUGGGCGUGCGGGCGAUACGGGCAGACUAGAGUACUGCAGGGGAGACUGGAAUUCCUGGUGUAGCGGUGGAAUGCGCAGAUAUCAGGAGGAACACCGGUGGCGAAGGCGGGUCUCUGGGCAGUAACUGACGCUGAGGAGCGAAAGCGUGGGUAGCGAACAGGAUUAGAUACCCCGGUAGUCCAA